UCGCCUUAAACUAAUGAGUAAGGAAAACAAAGCGGGCGGUGAGAGCUGCCCGCCGCGCUGUUACACCUAGUGUGCGCACGAAUAUUUGGAUGGGUGAUAGGCUGGCCGAUCGUUGACGCUGCUUACUUCGCAGAACUCGCUCGUGCGGGCCUCCCA
rfam:Musa acuminata subsp. malaccensis Doubled-haploid Pahang (DH-Pahang) genomic chromosome, chr4